UACGUAGGGUGCGAGCGUUGUCCGGAAUUACUGGGCGUAAAGAGCUCGUAGGUGGUUUGUCGCGUUGUUCGUGAAAACCGGGGGCUUAACCCUCGGCGUGCGGGCGAUACGGGCAGACUGGAGUACUGCAGGGGAGACUGGAAUUCCUGGUGUAGCGGUGGAAUGCGCAGAUAUCAGGAGGAACACCGGUGGCGAAGGCGGCUCACUGGACCGGAACUGACGCUGAGACGCGAAAGCGUGGGGAGCGAACAGG
rnacentral:rRNA from 1 species